CAAGAGCGUAUGUAAAAGUUGUUGCAGUUAAAAAGCUCGUAGUUGAACCUUGGGCUUGGUUGGCCGGUCCGCUUUUUUGCGAGUACUGGAUUCAACCGAGCCUUUCCUUCUGGCUAACCAGUCGUUUCGGCGGCUGGCGAACCAGGAUUUUUACUUUGAGAAAAUUAGAGUGUUCAAAGCAGGCAUUAGCUUGAAUAUAUUAGCAUGGAAUAAUAGAAUAGGACGUUAUGGUUCUAUUUUGUUGGUUUCUAGGACCAUCGUAAUGAUUAAUAGGGACGGUCGGGGGCAUCAGUAUUCAGUUGUCAGAGGUGAAAUUCUUGGAUUUACUGAAGACUAACUACCGCGAAAGCAUUUGCCAAGGACGUUUUCAUUAA
rnacentral:rRNA from 1 species